GGGGGGGGGCAAGCGUUGUUCGGAAUUACUGGGCGUAAAGGGCGCGUAGGCGGACGAGACAGUCUUUCGUGAAUCCCACGGGCUCAACCGUGGAACUGCGGCAGAUACUACUCGUCUUGAGUUCGGGAGAGGAGUGUGGAAUUCCCAGUGUAGCGGUGAAAUGCGUAGAUAUUGGGAGGAACACCGGUGGCGAAGGCGGCACUCUGGACCGAUACUGACGCUGAGGCGCGAAAGCUGGGGGAGCAAACGGGAUUAGAUACCCCGGUAGUCCUAGCUGUAAACGAUGAGCACUUGGUGUAGCGGGUACUCGACCCCUGCUGUGCCGGAGUUAACGCAUUAAGUGCUCCGCCUGGGGAGUACGGUCGCAAAGGCUG
rnacentral:rRNA from 1 species